CGUAGGUGGCAAGCGUUGUCCGGAUUUAUUGGGCGUAAAGCGCGCGCAGGCGGUCCUUUAAGUCUGAUGUGAAAUCUUGCGGCUCAACCGCAAGCGGUCAUUGGAAACUGGGGGACUUGAGUGCAGAAGAGGAAAGCGGAAUUCCACGUGUAGCGGUGAAAUGCGUAGAGAUGUGGAGGAACACCAGUGGCGAAGGCGGCUUUUCUGGUCUGUAACUGACGCUGAGGCGCGAAAGCGUGGGAGCAAACAGGAUU
rnacentral:rRNA from 1 species